AGGGUUUGUAGCUACAGCACAGAAUAAGGCACACAGAAGGGCCCCCUGGCCGCCAUCUUCCUAGCCAGUCGAUUACGUUUUCUGGCCAAUGAACGCGCUGUAUUGGCUGGCCGCCAUCUUCCUAGCCAGUCAAUUUGCAUGUUUUUGCAUAGAAAAAUGGGGACACGUUGCACCGCUGAGUGGCCCUUCUGGUACUGAUCUUUAUUCUGUGGCUAUAGGCCG